rnacentral:rRNA from 1 species
AGUUUGAUCCUGGCUCAGGACGAACGCUGGCGGCGUGCCUAAUACAUGCAAGUCGAGCGAUGAUUAGAGAUAGCUUGCUAUCUUUAUGAAGAGCGGCGAACGGGUGAGUAACGCGUGGGAAAUCUGCCGAGUAGCGGGGGACAACGUUUGGAAACGAACGCUAAUACCGCAUAACAAUGAGGAUCGCAUGAUUCUUAUUUAAAAGAAGCAAUUGCUUCACUACUUGACGAUCCCGCGUUGUAUUAGCUAGUUGGUAGUGUAAAGGACUACCAAGGCGAUGAUACAUAGCCGACCUGAGAGGGUGAUCGGCCACACUGGGACUGAGACACGGCCCAGACUCCUACGGGAGGCAGCAGUAGGGAAUCUUCGGCAAUGGGGGCAACCCUGACCGAGCAACGCCGCGUGAGUGAAGAAGGUUUUCGGAUCGUAAAACUCUGUUGUUAGAGAAGAACGUUAAGUAGAGUGGAAAGUUACUUAAGUGACGGUAUCUAACCAGAAAGGGACGGCUAACUACGUGCCAGCAGCCGCGGUAAUACGUACGUCCCAAGCGUUGUCCGGAUUUAUUGGGCGUAAAGCGAGCGCAGGUGGUUUCUUAAGUCUGAUGUAAAAGGCAGUGGCUCAACCAUUGUGUGCAUUGGAAACUGUGAGACUUGAGUGCACGAGAGGAGAGUGGAGUUCCAUGUGUAGCGGUGAAAUGCGUAGAUAUAUGGGAGGAGCACCGGAUGCGAAAGCGGCUCUCUGGACCUGU